UACGUAGGGUGCAAGCGUUGUCCGGAAUUAUUGGGCGUAAAGAGCUCGUAGGCGGUUUGUCGCGUCUGCUGUGAAAACUCGAGGCUCAACUUCGAGCUGUCGGUGGAAACUUUCUGGCUAGAGUCCGGAAGAGGAGAAUGGAAUUCCUGGUGUAGCGGUGAAAUGCGCAGAUAUCAGGAAGAACACCCGUGGCGAAGGCGGUUCUCUGGGACGGUACUGACGCUGAGACGCGAAAGCGUGGGGAGCGAACAGG
rnacentral:rRNA from 1 species